AUGUCUGUCAUUCCUGCUGCACAUGGGAUUAAAAUAAGAUGGUGUAAUGUCAAGUUGGGCACGGAGCCCAGUUCUGCAGCAGUGAUGCGUCCCGUACUGACACUCGGUUACAGUUCCUCAUUCAACGUGUCCAAACCUCAUUUCAGCAUUAUUUCAUCACCUGCGUGUGUGUGUGAGCGUUUAACUGCGGAUGGUGACUACAGGUUUCUACCGAUGAAUCAGCACGAACACAAUUGGUCUCUCUCUUUCACGUUCUAUUCUCCCGUUCUGUCCAUCUGUCAUCAGGCUUUACCCACCCUCUGAGCUGUCACUCCAGAACAGGAUGCCCAUUUAGGUUGGACACAAUUAUACACUUAUAUGUGUGUGUGUAGCUCAUGCAUGCCGUAAGACAUCGAGCACGGACCUGGGCCAGUCAGAAAUGUGAUCCGCCCCAUUGGCCACCCCUCCCGCUCCAGGGCUGCCCGUCUGGGAGAAAGGAACAGUGGGAAUUCUGUGUGGCUUUGGGCAGCCGAAGCCUCUUCCCAACAAUUACCUUCAAUUAGGGGAGCACAGUGGCGCGCAGGCAGAAAAAGGGACCCCAUUAGGGGCCAGGCCGGGCGACUGGAGUCAGGCCAGUCCUACUGUCCCCCUCUGCUCACUUACACUGCCCCGGGGCUAGGGUUACACCACACACACCCUGUCUCUUCACCCCUACCUGAUUCUGUCUUCCUGGUCAACCUGAUUGUCGUCUUUUCCCUCUUAGGGAGUUCGCUAGGGAGAGAAAAAGAAAAUAUUUCAUAAGGACAACAAAUCUUGCAGGGUCAUAUCUUAUUUAUUUAUUUAUUUUCCAAAGAUUUGUUAAUGAUGCAAAAGUUUCAAUGCUUCUUGUUCCAAAAGUACUUUUUAUUUAAAUUAAGCCUUAAUAUAGUUUUAGUUUUCCAAAUUAUUGAUGCUCAGAUGUAAACAAGUCUCAAAUCCCAGUUGGUAGAGACCUAGUAUUAAUUCUACCAACAUUCUUUUUGCAAAAUAACGGUCAGAGUAUACAGAUAGAUAUAUUUGAUAUAUUUGAAGUUUAUCAAGUUUGAAAUUCAUUUUAUAAUAAGCUCAUUUUAUUCGUUUUAUAAUAAGGUUGUAUUAUUUUAGGAACUGUAUAGAAGUGUCAACCUGAAUAAGUCACUGAAAUGUUAAAUGUGUUUUUUUUUUACCUACUUAAAUUAAAUUGAAUGUGAAAGUUAUGAUAUCUAUACCAAAGAUAUAUAUCAAAGUAGAUACAUACAGUACCUGUUUAUAUCUAAUAUUUCUUCCAAUUGUUAUGCUGUAAUGAUGACAAAAAUGUAUGUUUUAUUAUUAAUUAAAUUAAUACCUAGUGAGCACAGCAAAAUCAGUCCUGAAAUGCAUUUGUAUAUGUUAAAGUAAGACUAAUGCAGUUAAGGACUUAGACCACUUUGCCCUAACAUUUGGAUUUUUUAAAUAUAUAACAGUGGCAGGUGUGACACACAGUCAAGAACAGUAUUUUGCAAUUUUCCUCCCUACAUCCUACACUUAUCAUUUUUAUCAUUACUUACUGUAAUAAUCUUCUUUGUCAUUUAGGGGUACUAGUAUCUGUGCUGCUUAUUACUUCACUGUGCCUGGCUUGGCCAAGUUCCUGAAAACUGAGUAGGCAUCUUUGAUUCGCCACCCACCUUAUCCAACUGUGUGUUUUACCAGGAAAGAGAAUCGAUCAAGACUGUCAUGCAUCCGUUUUAUUCUUUGUUUGUUAGUGCAUGAGUAAUUCAGAUGACUCUUACCUGUGCAUUUGUUCACCUAAGCUUUAUGAAAGAUUGCAUUGUGAAACAUCAACACUCUUUCAGGUCUAUGAGGUCAGUGAAAAUGAUGGCCAAUAAAUCAGACUGACACCUCACUCUCUUAGUUUCCAAAUCUCAUACUCUGAAAAGAGAAAAAGUAGCUUGUUCAUCUUACCUGACUUUCAUUAAAUGGACAUCUCAAGACAGUCCAUCUUCAGGAAACCGUCCUGCAGUGUCUUCGUUUUUUUCACAAAGUAACUGUUGGUUACUUUACAAAGCAGACACAUGUUUACCCCAACUCAUAUUUAUCAAAGAUGCCAACCAUUAAAAUACCUACAUGUCUAUUUGAUGGCUAAAGAAAUAAAAAUAUAAAUAAAAUAAUAAAUAUAAUAUAAAAGAACAUAAUUCUUUUUAUGAACAAAUGACAUAAUUUCCUGAGAAUGACUGCUUGUAUUCACUAUAGCCUCUGUUUGGUUUUUUCAAAUAUUAAUGAAAAUAGUCUAAAUAGAUGAGUCUGGCCACUGUGAAAAGAAAAAAAACAAAAAAAAACAAACAAAAACACUAUGGACACAUGGUUCAGUAACGUGAACAUUGUUUGAAAAUCCAUCAUUGAGGUCAGCUGUCUAGACCCUUGUGGGGAUUAAUUGUCAAUGACAGUAAAGUAGCCAGAAAAAAUAUUUAUCUGUUUUACAAUGUAUUACAAUGUGAUCUGUUUAGUUUCUAUGGUUAUCAACGGUAUCAUUUAUUAAAGCUGACAGUUUGUUGUUGUAACACUGUAUUUAUGAUUUAAUUUUGCUUUUAUUACUUUACGGCAGAGCUCACCUUUCACCCUGACACUCAGUUAAUACAGAU
ensembl:lncRNA